GCGCCGGUAGCUCAAUUGGCAGAGCAUUUGACUCUUAAUCAACAGGUUCCGGGUUCAAGUCCCGGCCGGCGCACCA
rnacentral:tRNA from 4 species